UAUUUUCGGCCGAAUUUCGGUGUAGGUGUGGCCACAAGUGGACAGUCAAUGAGCUGCACAUACAGGAGUCCCGCGAGUGUCCUGAAUGUCAUCAACAGGAGGACUGUUGGCCUAAGAAAGUGCAUUUGAUGAGUCCUAUUGAUACAAAUAAUUCAUUUACUCCGGUAACCGAUGAACGCUAUUUCGGUCAAUACCAGUGCUUCCGGUGUCUGAGGACAUGGUUUUCCGCUCAUUCGUGGCUCGGUUUUGGCCAACAGUGUAUCAAAUGUAAAAUAUCUA